rnacentral:rRNA from 1 species
CGGGGUGCAGCAGGCGCGAAACCUUAGCAAUGUGCGAAAGCACGACUGGGUCAGUCCGAGUGAUUCCUGAUAAAGGAGUCUUUUGCUUGUCCUAAAAGCACAGGUGAAUAAGGGGUGGGCAAGUCUGGUGUCAGCCGCCGCGGUAAUACCAGCACCUCGAGUGGUCAGGACGUUUAUUGGGCCUAAAGCAUCCGUAGCCGGCUCUGCAAGUCUUCGGUUAAAUCCACCUGCUCAACAGAUGGGCUGCUGGAGAUACUACAGAGCUAGGGAGUGGGAGAGGCAGACGGUAUUCAGUGGGUAGGGGUAAAAUCCUCUGAUCCAUUGAGGACCACCAGUGGCGAAGGCGGUCUGCCAGAACACGUUCGACGGUGAGGGAUGAAAGCUGGGGGAGCAAACCGGAUUAGAUACCCGGGUAGUCCCAGCUGUAAACGAUGCAAACUCGGUGAUGCAUUGGCUUAUGGCCAAUGCAGUGCCGCAGGGAAGCCGUUAAGUUUGCCGCCUGGGAAGUACGGACGCAAGUCUGAAACUUAAAGGAAUUGGCGGGGGAGCACAAGGGCGAAUCGCG